AGUGAACGCUGGCGGUAGGCCUAACACAUGCAAGUCGAACGGCAGCACAGUAAGAGCUUGCUCUUACGGGUGGCGAGUGGUGGACGGGUGAGGAAUACAUCGGAAUCUACUUUUUCGUGGGGGGUAACGUAGGGAAACUUACGCUAAUACCGCAUACGACCUACGGGUGAAAGCAGGGGAUCUUCGGACCUUGCGCGAUUGAAUGAGCCGAUGUCGGAUUAGCUAGUUGGCGGGGUAAAGGCCCACCAAGGCGACGAUCCGUAGCUGGUCUGAGAGGAUGAUCAGCCACACUGGAACUGAGACACGGUCCAGACUCCUACGGGAGGCAGCAGUGGGGAAUAUUGGACAAUGGGCGCAAGCCUGAUCCAGCCAUACCGCGUGGGUGAAGAAGGCCUUCGGGUUGUAAAGCCCUUUUGUUGGGAAAGAAAAGCAGCAGGUUAAUACCCCGCUGUUCUGACGGUACCCAAAGAAUAAGCACCGGCUAACUUCGUG
rnacentral:rRNA from 1 species